UACCAGCACCCCGAGUGGUCGGGACGAUUAUUGGGCCUAAAGCAUCCGUAGCCGGUUGUGCAAGUCCUCCGUUAAAUCCAGCCGCUCAACGGAUGGGCUGCGGAGGAUACUACAGGACUAGGAGGCGGGAGAGGCAAGCGGUACUUAGUGGGUAGGGGUAAAAUCCUUUAAUCCAUUGAAGACCACCAGUGGCGAAGGCGGCUUGCCAGAACGCGCUCGACGGUGAGGGAUGAAAGCUGGGGGAGCAAACCGG
rnacentral:rRNA from 1 species